AGAGUUUGAUCAUGGCUCAGGAUAAACGCUGGCGGCGCACAUAAGACAUGCAAGUCGAACGGACUUAACCUUUAGUUUACUAUUGGAGCGGUUAGUGGCGGACUGGUGAGUAACGCGUGAGCAACCUGCCUAUCAGAGGGGAACAACAGUUAGAAAUGACUGCUAAUACCGCAUAUGCCUAAGUAUCACAUGAUACAAUAGGGAAAGGAGCAAUCCGCUGAUAGAUGGGCUCGCGUCUGAUUAGAUAGUUGGUGGGGUAACGGCCUACCAAGUCGACGAUCAGUAGCCGGACUGAGAGGUUCAACGGCCACAUUGGGACUGAGAUACGGCCCAGACUCCUACGGGAGGCAGCAGUCGGGAAUAUUGCGCAAUGGAGGAAACUCUGACGCAGUGACGCCGCGUGCAGGAAGAAGGUUUUCGGAUUGUAAACUGCUUUAGACAGGGAAGAAAAAGACAGUACCUGUAGAAUAAGCUCCGGCUAACUACGUGCCAGCAGCCGCGGUAAUACGUAGGGAGCAAGCGUUAUCCGGAUUUAUUGGGUGUAAAGGGUGCGUAGACGGGAUAGUAAGUUAGUUGUGAAAUCCCCAGGCUCAACUUGGGAACUGCAACUAAAACUGUUAUUCUUGAGUGUUGGAGAGGAAAGUGGAAUUCCUAGUGUAGCGGUGAAAUGCGUAGAUAUUAGGAGGAACACCAGUGGCGAAGGCGACUUUCUGGACAAUAACUGACGUUGAGGCACGAAAGUGUGGGGAGCAAACAGGAUUAGAUACCCUGGUAGUCCACACCGUAAACGAUGGAUACUAGGUGUAGGGUGUGAUAAACGCUCUGUGCCGUCGCUAACGCAAUAAGUAUCCCACCUGGGGAGUACGGCCGCAAGGUUGAAACUCAAAGGAAUUGACGGGGGCCCGCACAAGCAGUGGAGUAUGUGGUUUAAUUCGACGCAACGCGAAGAUCCUUACCAGGGCUUGACAUAUACAGUAAUAUAUUAGAGAUAGUAUAGCUCUUCGGAGACUGUAUACAG
rnacentral:rRNA from 1 species